rnacentral:rRNA from 1 species
ACAGCAGCAGCCACGGGAAUACGAAGGGUGCAAGCGUUACUCGGAAUUACUGGGCGUAAAGCGUGCGUAGGUGGUGGUUUAAGUCCGUUGUGAAAGCCCUGGGCUCAACCUGGGAAUUGCAGUGGAUACUGGGUCACUAGAGUGUGGUAGAGGAUAGUGGAAUUUCCGGUGUAGCAGAGAAGUGCGUAGAGAUCGGAAGGAACAUCUGUGGCGAAGGCGACUAUCUGGGCCAACACUGACGCUGAGGCACGAAAGCGUGGGGAGCAAACAGGAUUAGAUACCCCCCGUAGUCCCUGUCUCUUAUU